rnacentral:rRNA from 1 species
CCCUUAGAUGUUCUGGGCCGCACGCGUGCUACACUGAGUAAUUCAAUGGGUAAGGGAACGCUAGAGCAUUACCUAAUCUUGAAAUUUGCUCGUGAUGGGGAUCGACGGUUGCAAUUUUCUGUCGUGAACGAGGAAUACCUUGUAGGCGCAUGUCAUCAUCAUGCGCCGAAUACGUCCCUGCCCUUUGUACACACCGCCCGUCGCUCCUACCGAUUGAGUGAUCCGGUGAGGCUCUGGGACCUGGACGGAAAGAGCGUUUCGCUUGUUCUGUUUGGGAAACUUGGUCGAACCUUAUCAUUUAGAGGAAGGAGAAGUCGUAACA